CCCAGUCGCAACUGUGAAACUGACUAAAAAGAUGAAAAAACACUCAACCAAGAUACCUGCAACAGUUCUUCACAGGGAUGUCAGACGGAUAGUUAUCCUACUUCCAGUUGAAGAGCAGCAGUAGCAACAGGACCAAAAAUGGAGUAACUAAAUCCGACACGUCACAGUUCUGGUGUGACCUCCUUGGGUUGAAGAACCAGGAGGUCAAGUGGGAGGUGUUGUGUCAAUUUAUGGUUACUUUGCUUUAGUUGUACUGAGCAAUCCAAGCCUUGAUUCACCCAGGGCUCUCAGGGCACUCCCAAACUGCAGGGGGCAAUCAUGCAACUACAGGGGGCAAUCAUGCAUGGGAAGUAGCUUUGGGACUAUAUUUGCCUGCGCACCCACAGAGGGAACAUGGCAUUGAAAUGUUUGUAGAGAGUUCGGUUGGUUCUCUCAUUUAUUCCUGGAAAAGGACACUAUGAUUACAGCUCCUGAUCACUCAAAGACGCAACUGGUUAUCAACCUAUACCUACUGCCCCACACUGAUCUAUCAAGUCACAUUCAAGAAACUAUACCAUAUUAUUCCAUCACUGGUCUAUCAAACCAUCUCAAAGAAAAUAAAGAAUCAAGAAGUGAAAAGA